CACUCUAAUUGGGGAAGUCAUAUAAAAAGAUAUGAUAUUUUUUGGUGUCUUUAUCGUAAGUUGAUUUGAGGGCGAAAGAAUAAAGGAAAAUGUUUUUUAUUACUAAACAAAUGACUUUCUUUAUUGUUUUGCUGCUUUUUAGUUUCUUCCAUCUUUCAAUGAGCGAUGUUCAGCCUGAAUCGGCACAUGCGACUUUGACCUUGCCACCAGACCUAGGACCUGAACAGGCAGUUUGUGCAGAUCCAGCAGCCGGCGAAGGUAAACCAUCAGCCCAAGUGGCUAAUGGAGGCAUUCCGCCCCAGUGAUCCAGCAUUUCCGCCGAACAAGAAAAGCGAAACUUUUCUUGUUAUUCAUGUAGAAAUUAAAAAUUCAAAAGGUGUAUAAGAAAAUAAACCCGUCUAUAAAUAAAACAAAUUAAGACAAAGUUGAAGUGAAUGUGU